rnacentral:rRNA from 1 species
UACGUAGGGGGCAAGCGUUAUCCGGAUUUACUGGGUGUAAAGGGAGCGUAGACGGCGGUGCAAGCCAGAUGUGAAAGCCCGGGGCUCAACCCCGGGACUGCAUUAGGAACUGUGCUGCUAGAGUGUCGGAGAGGCAGGCGGAAUUCCUAGUGUAGCGGUGAAAUGCGUAGAUAUUAGGAGGAACACCAGUGGCGAAGGCGGCCUGCUGGACGAUGACUGACGUUGAGGCUCGAAAGCGUGGGGAGCAAACAGG